rnacentral:rRNA from 1 species
UCACUUUCAACAACGGAAUCUCUUGGCUCUCGCAUCGAUGAAGAACGUACGAAGUGCGAUAAGUAUGUGAAUUGCAAAAUUCCGUGAUCAUCGAAUCUUGACGCAAUGCAUCUGG